AUGGGAAUUGCUGGACGACAUGGUUUAGCUCUCUGAGCAAAUGCUAAACUGCUUUCCAAAGCAGCUACACCAUUCUAAAUUCCCAGCAGCCAU
rnacentral:miRNA from 1 species